UUAUUCGUCUUCAACGAGGAAUUCCUAGUAAAUGCAAGUCAUCAGCUUGCGUUGAUUACGUCCCUGCCCUUUGUACACACCGCCCGUCGCUCCUACCGAUUGAGUGAUCCGGUGAGCUGUCCGGACUGCGAUUAGUUCAGUUUCUGUUCUCUUCGCGGGAAGUUCUGCAAACCUUAUCACUUAGAGGAAGGAGAAGUCGUAACAAGGUUUCCGUAGGUGAACCUGCGGAAGGAUCAUUC
rnacentral:ncRNA from 1 species